rnacentral:rRNA from 1 species
GACGAACGCUGGCGGCGCGCUUAACACAUGCAAGUCGAACGGAAAGGCCUGCUUUCCCUUGUGGAUUGCGGGUACUCGAGUGGCGAACGGGUGAGUAACACGUGAGUGAUCUGCCCCCAACUUGGGUAUAAGCCUGGGAAACUGGGUCUAAUUCCCGAUAGGACUGCAGGGUGGUGCCUGUGGUGGAAAACGAUUUUCUAGUGGUUGGGGAUGAGCUCGCGGCCUAUCAGCUUGUUGGUGGGGUAAUGGCCUACCAAGGCGGCGACGGGUAGCCGGCCUGAGAGGGUGGACAGCCACAUUGGGACUGAGAUACGGCCCAGACGCCUACGGGAGGCAGCAGUGGGGAAUAUUGCACAAUGGGCGGAAGCCUGAUGCAGCGACGCCGUGUGGGGGAUGACGGCCUUCGGGUUGUAAGCUCCUUUCGACCGCGAGGAAGCCACCUGGUUGGAAGGGUGGUGACGGUAGUGGUAGAAGAAGCACCGGCUAACUACGUG